rnacentral:tRNA from 1 species
GCGGGCGUAGUUCAAAGGUAGAAUCUCAGCUUCCCAAGCUGAUGAUGAGGGUUCGAUUCCCUUCGCCCGCUCCA